GAACACGCUCUAUCUUUGGCGAACCGGCGCCUGAGGCUCGUUGCGGUACUGUUCCUAGACCUGGACAACUUCAAAGUCGUCAACGAUUCCUU
rnacentral:misc_RNA from 1 species